UAAUACGGAGGGUGCAAGCGUUAAUCGGAAUUACUGGGCGUAAAGCGCGCGUAGGCGGAUGCUUAAGUCGGAUGUGAAAGCCCAGGGCUCAACCUUGGAACUGCAUUCGAUACUGGGCAUCUAGAGUACAGUAGAGGGUGGUAGAAUUUCUUGUGUAGCAGUGAAAUGCGUAGAUAUGAGAAGGAAUACCAGUGGCGAAGGCGGCCACCUGGACUGAUACUGACGCUGAGGUGCGAAAGCGUGGGGAGCAAACGGGAUUAGAUACCCCGGUAGUCCACGCCGUAAACGAUGUCUACUAGCCGUUGGGAGACUUGAUCUCUUAGUGGCGCAGCUAACGCACUAAGUAGACCGCCUGGGGAGUACGGUCGCAAGAUUA
rnacentral:rRNA from 1 species